AUAGACCAAUGGAAAAGAAUAGAGAAUACAGAAAUAAGACUGCACACCUACAACUGUCUCAUCUUUGACAAACCUGACAAAAACAAGCAAUGGAGAAAGGAUUCCCUAUUUAAUAAAUGGUGCUGGGAGAACUAGCUAGCCAUAUGCAGGAUAUUGAAACUGGCACCUUCCUUACGCCUUACACAAAAAUCAACUCAAGAUGGAUUAAAGACUUACAUGUAAAACCCCAAACUAUAAAAACACUAGAAGAAAACCUGGGCAAUACCAUUUAGGAUAUAGGCAUUGGCAAAGAUUUCAUGAUGAAAACACUAAAAGCAAUUGCAACAAAAGCAAAAAUUAGCAAAUGGGUCUAAUUAAACUAAAGAGCUUCUGCACAGCAAAAGGAACUAUUAACAGAGUAAACAGACAACCUACAGAACGGGCGAAAAUUGUUGCAAUCUAUGUAUCUGACAAAGCCCUAAUAUCCAGAAUCUAUAAGGAACUUAAACAAAUUUACAAAAAAAAGCAACCCCAUUAAAAAGUGGGCAAAGGACAUGAACAGACACUUCUCAAAAGAAGACAUACAUGUGGCUAACAAACAUGAAAAAAGCCUUCACAUCACUAAUUAUUAGAUAAAUGCAAAUCAAAACCAAAUGAGAUACCAUCUUACAUCAUUCAGGAUGGUGAUUAUUAAAAAGUCAAAAAAUGACAGAUGCUGAUGAGGAUGUGAAGAAAAAGGAACACUUUAAUACUGUUGGUGGGAGUGUAAAUUAGUUCAACCAUUGUGGAAAACAGUCUGGUGAUUCUUCAAAGACAAAGAGGCAGAAAUACCAUUCUACCCAGCAAUCUCAUUACUGGUUAUAUACUCAAAGGAAUAUAAAUCAUUUUCUUAUAAAGACACAUGCACAUAUAUGUUUAUUGCAGCACUAUUCACAAUAGCAGACAUAGAAUCAACCUAAAUGCCUAUCAGUGAUAGAUUGGAUAAAGAAAAUGUACAUAUACAACAUGGAAUACUAUGCAGGCAUAAAAAGGAAUCAGGUCAUGUGCUUCGCAGGGACAUGGAUGGAGCUGGAGGCCAUCAUCCUUAGCAAACUUACACAGGAACAGAAAACCAAAUACUGCAUGUUCUCACUUACAAGUGGGAGCAAAAUGAUGAGAAUACAUGGACACAUGGCGGGGAACAACACACACUAGGGUGUGUUGGAGAGUAGGGAGAGGAUCAGGAAGAAUAACUAUUGGAUAAUGGGCUUAAUACCUGGGUGAUAGGAUGAUCUGUGUAGCAAACCACCAUGGCACACAUUUACCUAUGUAACAAACCUGCAUAUCCUGCACAUGUAUCCCUGAACUUAAAAUAAAAGUUGGAAAUAAAAAAAAAAGAGUGAUUAUGUCAGGGACUAGGUGGUAGCUGUGGAGAUGAUGAAAAGUGGUCAGAGUCUAGAUGCAUUUUGAGGGUGG
rnacentral:lncRNA from 1 species